CCUACGGGAGGCAGCAGUGAGGAAUAUUGGUCAAUGGCCGGAAGGCUGAACCAGCCAUGCCGCGUGAAGGUCAGUGCCCUAUGGGCGUUACACUUCUUUUGUGCGGGAGCAAUAAUGGUCACGUGUGGCCAGACGAGAGUACCGUACGAAUAAGCAUCGGCUAAUUCCGUGACAGCAGCCGCGGUAAUACGGAAGGUCCGGGCGUUAUCCGGAGUUAUUGGGUUUAAAGGGAGCGUAGGCCGCAUGUCAAGCGUGCUGUGAAAUGUCCGGGCUCAACCCGGGCCUUGCAGCGCGAACUGGGGUGCUUGAGUCCGCGGAAAGCAGGCGGAAUUCGUCGUGUAGCGGUGAAAUGCUUAGAUAUGACGAAGAACCCCGAUUGCGAAGGCAGCUUGCUGCAGCGGAACUGACGCUGAUGCUCGAAAGCGCGGGCAUCGAACAGGAUUAGAUACCCUUGUAGUC
rnacentral:rRNA from 1 species